rnacentral:lncRNA from 1 species
UAUCACUUGAUAAAGGAGUAUUGUUAGUGAAAGAAAACAUUGUUGUAUUCUUUGGUAUUUUUAGUGGUUUGGAAUAUAGUUAAUUGUGUGACCCUAAUACGUAAGCUCAUGCGGUUAAUAUUUUCUUGCGUUUGAAUCAUCUUCUAGAUGUUUAUUCUGAAAGAAAUUUGUAGAAUAAGUAAAACGACAAUCACAUUUUGGUGCCACUACCAGGGAUUGACGAUAGUAUUGAGUGUUAGGAUUUAACUGCCAAAUGAGUAAGUUUUGGAUAUUACACGAAGACAUUAUAAAAUCAAAAUUAGUUCAAAAGUAAAGAAAAAUGUGUAGUUAGAUGGAGAUAGGAAGCAAAUUUAGCACUAUAUAAUAAAAGAUUAUGGUUAUUAAGAAUGAA